GGUUAUUUCCGGGGGAAUAUCUGUCUUGAAAACGGAUUUAGGGUGUUCAACUCACUCAAUAACUU
rnacentral:tRNA from 1 species